UACGGAGGGGGCUAGCGUUGUUCGGAAUCACUGGGCGGAAAGCGCACGUAGGCGGCUUUUUAAGUCAGGGGUGAAAUCCUGGAGCUCAACUCCAGAACUGCCUUUGAUACUGAGAAGCUUGAGUCCGGGAGAGGUGAGUGGAACUGCGAGUGUAGAGGUGAAAUUCGUAGAUAUUCGCAAGAACACCAGUGGCGAAGGCGGCUCACUGGCCCGGUACUGACGCUGAGGUGCGAAAGCGUGGGGAGCAAACAGG
rnacentral:rRNA from 1 species